rnacentral:rRNA from 1 species
GCUAGCGUUGUCCGGAAUCAUUGGGCGUAAAGCGCGUGUAGGCGGUCCGGUAAGUCCGCUGUGAAAGUCGAGGGCUCAACCCUCGAAUGCCGGUGGAUACUGUCGGGCUUGAGUACGGGAGAGGCGAGUGGAAUUCCUGGUGUAGCGGUGAAAUGCGCAGAUAUCAGGAGGAACACCGAGUGCGAAGGCAGCUCGCUGGAACGUUACUGACGCUGAGACGCGAAAGCGUGGGGAGCAAACAGG